AAAGGGAUCUUUGCAAACACAAUCACGUUCUUAAAUGGAAAUGCGGGGGUUUAAACAAAUCUUACAUCUCUCCCCUUCCAUUCACCCAAAACUCUGCAAUCAGGCGCAUGUUCCGCUCCUUCUAAAACAGUAGCUGUUUUCUGGGGAAGGUCCCAUUUUAAUCAUUCACCUAAAAGCGAUGUAUUUUGGCUUUUCAUCUCAGCCCCAUGCGACUGUUCUUUUUUUCUAUUUACAGGAGUUACUCGGCUCUGGUGUUCAUUUUAAUCCGGAGCUUCAUGACUAAACGACCUUGCAGUGCUGAGCUGCUUGCCAGCAUGGAGACCAAAACCGCAAACGGACGCUGCUGGAAUGAGUGAGCGUGUCUUGGGCACAUUGCCACAGUUUGUUACUGUGUGUUGCAAACAUUUAAACACGAAGUGCUGGGGAUGCGUGGGUUUGGAGGUGGAAGAUGGGGAGUAAGGGACCAAGGAAUGGGAUGGAGAUGAGCUGGUGGACCGCUUUGAUGCCAUUUCAGAACUCUUUCCCAAAGUCAAAGCUAUAUGACAGAACACAUUGGUGGCAGCAUCAUGGUGUGGAACUGUUUUGGUGCUAGUGGUACUGGUGGAUUGCAGAAAGUGGAUAAAACAAUGAAGAAGCAGGACUACCUCCAAGUUCUUCAACUUCACCUCAAUUGAAUGUUUGGACAGAUCAAUUAUCCAUGCCACACAUCAGAAGUGGUUCUGGGAUGGUCAAAGCAGGCUGACAAAAAGCUGCUAGAAUCGGCUUUCCAAAGCCCCAACCACAGCCCUGUUGAAAAGUUGUGGACUAUGGAUGCAAAUGCUGUUUGUGCCAGUUUGAUACUCCUUUAAAUAAAGGGAUGAGCUGCAGUACCAAACACAGUCACAAAGAUUUGUUCUCUGUUAAAAAUAUUUUCUUGCUAACGCAACUAUUGUGAUGUCUGGUUUCUUGUAUUCUUAUUGUAUUGUAUUUCAUUUAUUUGUCAAAAUAUAUUUGUGAAACAUAAGAAAAGUAAAAGUAAGUUUGUAUUUCUUCAGUAAAUUAUUUUACUGAAACAACAUUAAUCUGUAGUUUGGCAUGUCCUAAAAUGGCCUGAUGAUUUCACAGUUGAUCGUCUUUAAUAAGCAUAAAAUACAGUUGAAUUUAUUGCAGUACCAUGGGAUAUUUUAACAUUUAUCUUAAGCCUGCUUACCAAUAAAGAAUACACAGUAAACCUACUUUUGAAAAUUGUGCAAAACAAAUUAGA